UACGUAGGUGGCAAGCGUUGUCCGGAUUUACUGGGCGUAAAGGGAGCGUAGGCGGACUUUUAAGUGAGAUGUGAAAUACCCGGGCUCAACUUGGGUGCUGCAUUUCAAACUGGAAGUCUAGAGUGCAGGAGAGGAGAAUGGAAUUCCUAGUGUAGCGGUGAAAUGCGUAGAGAUUAGGAAGAACACCAGUGGCGAAGGCGAUUCCCUGGACUGUAACUGACGCUGAGGCUCGAAAGCGUGGGGAGCAAACAGGAUUAGAUACCCUGGUA
rnacentral:rRNA from 1 species